rnacentral:rRNA from 1 species
AUGAACGCUGGCGGCGUGCUUAACACAUGCAAGUCGAACGGAAAGGCCACAGCUUGCUGUGGUACUCGAGUGGCGAACGGGUGAGUAACACGUGGGUGAUCUGCCCUGUACUUCGGGAUAAGCUUGGGAAACUGGGUCUAAUACCGGAUAGGAAUCACAUGUGGGUGUGUGGUUGGAAAGCUUUUGCGGUAUGGGAUGAGCUCGCGGCCUAUCAGCUUGUUGGUGGGGUAAUGGCCUACCAAGGCGUCGACGGGUAGCCGGCCUGAGAGGGUGUACGGCCACAUUGGGACUGAGAUACGGCCCAGACUCCUACGGGAGGCAGCAGUAGGGAAUAUUGCACAAUGGGCGCAAGCCUGAUGCAGCGACGCCGCGUGGGGGAUGACGGCCUUCGGGUUGUAAACUCCUUUCGUCAGGGACGAAGCGAAAGUGACGGUACCUGGAUAAGAAGCACCGGCUAACUACGUG